rnacentral:rRNA from 1 species
UACAGAGGGUGCAAGCGUUGUUCGGAAUUAUUGGGCGUAAAGGGCGCGUAGGCGGUGCCACAAGUCACCUGUGAAAUCUCCGGGCUUAACUCGGAGCCUGCAGGCGAAACUGUGGUGCUGGAGUGUGGGAGAGGUGCGUGGAAUUCCCGGUGUAGCGGUGAAAUGCGUAGAUAUCUGAAGGAACAUCAGUGGCGAAAGCGACUUCCUGGACCAAUACUGACGCUCAUGUGCGAAAGCGUGGGGAGCAAACAGG